GUUAUUAUUAUCCACACAAUAGACAAUAGCUCUUUGUCAUGAAGUGGGCCAGCAUUACAGGCUCUGCCCCCCCCAGUGUUUGUUAUUCCCAGCUGAUUUCAGGUCCUCAAUGUCAUAUGGUAAUAACAGGUUCUUCUCUUUUGGUAUUUCAGUAAAUGACAAGAACUCAUCACAAUACAUACCAGUGUUGUCCCAGUCUGGACUGACGCUACCAGUCCUGAUUCCUGUACUGAUCCCAGUGCUGUUAAUGUGGUAAGAUUGUAAGUAAUGGACUGGGUGUGGCCUUUUAAUAAUAAUUAUAUUAAUAUAUACAUGUAAACUAUUCCAAGUUUAUACUGUUGAUACUGUCAUUGAUUAAUAAUACUAAUGGAGGGACUGAGGCAGCUGCUGCUGCUGCUGGUAGUGGAUUUGAACAAGUAGCAGAUCAAAUAAUAAACCUGGAAACCAACCUGGCUAAAGUAUGCACACACGGCGGUAGCCUAUAUGUAGGAU